rnacentral:lncRNA from 1 species
GCUUUGGUGCCACAAUGCCGCUAAAUAGGUCAUGAUGAUAUUCCCAUGUGAAAGCUGAUCGUAUGGAUUUGGCCAUAUGUCCAUAAAUGCUUCAGUAUUCAUUACAUGGUAAAGUUUAGACUGUGAUUGCUAAAUGCGAUUAAUAAAAUUUGAAAUCGGAUGAUAUGUCGAAUACUCGUUGCCUAUAAAUUCAAAGGUGAACAAGACCCUUUUUUGAUUGGAUGGCCCAUAUACUUGCAAUUGCAUCGCUAUGUAAAAUCUGGAUGAUUUGCAAAGUGGAUGGUAUGUGUGUGUUGUCCCUUAAUCCCCUAACUGUAAUGGUAUAUUUGAGACUUGAUAAGCCUAAUUGUAAUGACAAUAUGACUUUUAUAUUCAUAUUUCGUAAUCUUUAUAUUGGAUGAUGUGUGUUUGAUGAACCUAAUUGUAAUGGUGGUAUAAACUUUUUCUUCAUAAACAGAAGUUUGUAUAGUAUGUUUGAGCCUUGCCUUUAUCACGUCAUACUAUUCGG